AUGAAGACUCUUAUUGGAACUUUGUUCCUGUUCUUGUGGAUGCAGCUGGACUGGAUGAGUAAAGGAGAAGAGGUACAGCAGCACCCUUCUUUCCUGACCAUCUGGGAGGGAGACAGCUUUGUUAUCAACUGCACGUACACAGACAGUGCCUCGGACUACUUCUUUUGGUACAAGCAAGAACCUGGAAAAGGCCUCCAGUUGCUUAUAUAUACUCUUUCAAAUGUGGUCAAGAAACAAGAACAAAGACUCACCGUCCUACUUAAUAAGAAGGAUAAACACCUUUCCCUGCAUGACACAGCCACCCACCCUGGGGACUCAGCCACCUACUUCUGUGCAACAAGGGCCUUAGUUGAUUUAAGGUAUCUCUAA